UUAAAAAGAGUGAGCAAGGGUUAACAAGAGUGAACAAGGGUUAACUAGAGUGAGCAAGGGUUACUAAGAGUAAACAAGUGUUAACUAGAGUGAGCAAGGGUUAACUAAUCUAAUCUAACUAGAGUGAGCAAGGGUUAACUAGAGUAAGCAAAGGGUUA